rnacentral:rRNA from 1 species
AUUGAACGCUGGCGGCAGGCCUAACACAUGCAAGUCGAGCGGAUGAGGAGAGCUUGCUCUCUGAUUUAGCGGCGGACGGGUGAGUAAUGCCUAGGAAUCUGCCUGGUAGUGGGGGAUAACGUUCCGAAAGGAACGCUAAUACCGCAUACGUCAUACGGGAGAAAGCAGGGGACCUUCGGGCUUUGCGCUAUCAGAUGAGACUAGGUCGGAUUAGCUAGUUGGUGAGGUAAUGGCUCACCAAGGCUACGAUCAGUAACUGGGCUGAGGGGAGGAUCAGUCACACUGGAACUGAGACACGGUCCAGACUCCUACGGUAGGCAGCAGUGGGGAAUAUUGGACAAUGGGCGAAAGCCUGAUCCAGCCAUGCCGCGUGUGUGAAGAAGGUCUUCGGAUUGUAAAGCACUUUAAGUUGGGAGGAAGGGUUGUAGAUUAAUACUCUGCAAUUUUGACGUUACCAACAGAAUAAGCACCGGCUAACUUCGUGCCAGCCGCCGCCGUAAGAC